GUCCCUGUACUGCAAUGGGUAGCGCGUUGGACUUCUAAUCCAAAGGUCGUGGGUUCAAAUCACACCAGGGAUG
rnacentral:tRNA from 1 species